UGUCAGCCCUUAUGCAACAAAAAUAUACUGCAGUAUAUUGGAAAAUAUCAUGUAAUAUAUUAGGCAAUAUAUUCCCAUAUAUCGGAUUUAAUAUUUAUAUUUCCCAAUAUAUUGUAAUAUAUGCAUAGAAAAUAUCAUGUAAUAUAUUAGGCAGUAUAUUCCCAUAUAUAGGAUUUCAUAUGUAUAUUUUCCAUUAUAUUGCAGUAUAUGAAUAGACCAUACAUGUAUAUAUUGAUACAAAAUAUAUUGUAACCAAGACCAAAAAGGGCACUAUGUUUUUCCAUGUAAUAGUUUGUCUUUAUAUGAUUUAAUAUACUGCAAUAUAUGCAGGGGCGUCGCUAGAUCCCUUUUACUGGGGCACAUGCCCCAGUGUAAAUCUUUUGUGUCCCGGUGUAAAUCUCAAGUUUAAAUUUUAGCAGUUAACUAGGGUAUUCCUAUACAAAGAUAAUCGCGGCAAAAACGGAUCUAUAUGCAAUGUAGUUACCCAAUUUACGCUUGUAAAAGCGACGAAGCAGUCGCAUUGACUCGUGCACACACGUAUCCAUGUCCAUGCACGUCUUUGCGUUCAUCUGCACACAACCGCAUUCAAAAGGUGACGCCAAGCGAGUUAGCUUAUGAAAACAUGACUAGACUAAAGUAAGUUUCUAAAUAAUAAUAAUAAUCUUAUUUUGACUCGAUCAUUAUUGGCUUCUUUAGAUGAACAUGUUUUGUGCAAAGCAGGGAAAGCGAAGCAGACAAGAGAGAUGAUGAGUUUUAAGGAGUACUCUACUCAGCACCGACUGCUUCAACCAGAAUGCGUGCCAAAGGCGAUGGAGCAUAAUGCUUGAGUAGGAAGCUGAGAUUCAGGCGCGAGGAGAGGACAGGACACAUAAGAGAGACUAGCAACAAGGAGGCUGAUAGGUCCUGACCUAUAGUCCUAACUCAUACUCCUAAUCAGUAGGUGGCGGUAAUGCACCUAAAAGUUGUUUGCUAACCACCAGUAAAACUCGAGAAGGAGACUGAUCGUUGGCAUGCUCUCAACCCAGGGAAACUUCAAGCUUUACAAGAUGCUGUUUUAAACCAGUUUCCACGGCCGAAGCUGAUGUUAGAAAAUCCAUCAACAGUAGAAUAUGCGAGCUAAGACACCAGGUGAAGUGCAAAAGCAUGGGUAUAUAAGUCAUUUAAAUCAGUGAAGAGCCAAGAUGGACUCCUAACCAGGAUAAAGGCCUGUUCUUUUGACAAUUUAUUUCUUUGCUUUUCCACGUUGCCAAAGCGCCUUGAAAGUUUGUUUAUUAUUUAUUUAUCUAUUAUUGUCUGUGCAUUUUGUUUAUAUUGUAUUUUUAACUGUAUAACGGCACUGCUGAAAGUUUGAAAUAAAUAGACCUUGGUAAUUUAAAUUGCUUUAAUUUAUAUUUUGUAUAUUUUCUGUUUUAUGUCACUCUUUUAAAAUGUAAUUUAUGUAAAUGUAAUGCAAGACAUUUAUGUAAUGUAAAGCAAAUCACAUUGUCUGACCAUGUGCAAAACCUCUUGUGGUUGUAAUAUGUCUGUUUAGCUCUCUACCUCAAAUUAGUUUUAGUACGUGUGCCUGAUUAAAAGAAAAUAAAG